rnacentral:rRNA from 1 species
UACGUAGGGGGCAAGCGUUGUCCGGAAUCAUUGGGCGUAAAGCGCGCGUAGGCGGCCCGGUAAGUCCGCUGUGAAAGUCAAAGGCUCAACCUUUGAAAGCCGGUGGAUACUGCCGGGCUAGAGUCCGGAAGAGGCGAGUGGAAUUCCUGGUGUAGCGGUGGAAUGCGUAGAUAUCGGGAGGAACACCAGUGGCGAAGGCGACUACCUGGCCUGUUCUUGACGCUGAGGCGCGAAAGCUAGGGGAGCAAACGGG